rnacentral:lncRNA from 1 species
GUGACUUAAUGUGUAAUAAAGAUAAUUUUGUCACUUCGAAAUGAGAGGAGAAAUAUUUACUUGCAUCUGUUGCGUAGUAAUAUUUAUACACCGUAUAAAAUAUUAUAUGAUUGAUAGAGUAGUUGAUAAUUAAUAUAUACCUUUGUUAGUUAAUUUGUAAAUUAUUCACGAAUUAUUUGCGAAUGUUUGAAAAUCCGAAUUAAACGGUCCGUUUACGAAUUUUUCAAAAAAAAAAUGAAUUAUUCGCGAAUUUUUUGGCCAACUGAAUAAUUUGCGAAUUAUUCGCGAAUUAUUCUCGAAUAUUGAAAAUCUGAAUAAAAACUUAUAAUUUUUAUAUUUAAAUAUAGAUUAUCUUAUAUUUUAUAUCUUAUAUUUUAUAUUUUAUACCGAAUUUAUUUUUUAAGUCGAAUUUUUCGACGAAUUUAAAAAUUAGAAAAUGAAUUUUAUGCGUAUUAUACCCGUACCGAAUUUUUGCUGAAUUCGAAUCUAACUAUGAUAUAUACUGUAAAAUAAAGUAUGAUAUAAUAUAAAAUAUUUAAAUAAUUUAUUAUAUGACUUAAAUUUUAUCUUUAAUAUAUAUUUUUGAGUCAAUUUAUGGUGAAGUGACACAUUCAAAAUUUUCAAGAUUUGGCAAUUUUUCAUUUGUUAAGAACUUAAUGCCAAAAUGAUAGUUUGUUCUGGUGAUAAGAGGAGAAAUAUUUGCGUGCAUCCAGUGCAUACUAAUAUUUCAGACACCAUAUAAAAUAUUAUAUAAUUGACGAAAUAUUUGAUGAUUAAUUCUGUAAAAUAAAAUAUGAUAUAAUAUAUAAUAUUUAAAUAAUUUAUUAUACGACUGUAAUUUUAUUUUUAAUGUAUAUUUUAGAGUCGGUUUAUGGUGAAACAGUUGUGCCCAAAUUUUUAAUGGAUAUGUGGUAAUUUUUUAUUGGUUUAG